rnacentral:rRNA from 1 species
GAUGAGCGCUGGCGGCGUGCCUAAUACAUGCAAGUCGAGCGGUAACAGGUCUAGUUUACUAGAUGCUGACGAGCGGCGGACGGCUGAGUAACACGUAGGAACGUACCCCAAAGUAGAGGGAGUAACUGCUCGAAAGAAGUAGCUAAUACCGCAUGUGAUCUAAGGAUUAAAGACUUUAUUGCGCUUUGGGUAACGGCCUGCGUUCGAUUAGCUAGUUGGUGAGGUAAUAGCUCACCAAGGCGAUGAUCGAUAGCUGGUCUGAGAGGAUGAUCAGCCAGACUGGGACUGAGACACGGCCCAGACUCCUACGGGAGGCAGCAGUAGGGAAUUUUCCACAAUGGACGAAAGUCUGA